AGGGAAUUUUCGGCAAUGGGGGGAACCCUGACCGAGCAAUGCCGCGUGAACUAUGAAGGUCUUCGGAUCGUAAGGUUCUGUUAUCAGGAAAGAAUAGCAUAACUAGGAAAUGAGUUAUGUGUGACGGUACCUGAUGAGAAAGCCCCGGCUAACUAUGUGCCAGCAGCCGCGGUAAUACAUAGGGGGCGAGCGUUAUCCGGAAUUAUUGGGCGUAAAGGGUGCGUAGGCGGUUUAUUAAGUCUGACGUGAAAUACCACAGCUUAACUGUGGAGGGUCGUUGGAAACUGGUAAACUUGAGUACAGUAGAGGUAAGUGGAAUUCCAAGUGGAGCGGUGGAAUGCGUAGAUAUUUGGAGGAACACCAGUGGCGAAGGCGGCUUACUGGGCUGGAACUGACGCUGAGGCACGAAAGCGUGGGGAGCAAACA
rnacentral:rRNA from 1 species